rnacentral:piRNA from 1 species
UUGUAAUUGAAAAAUGAAUUC